AUUGAACGCUGGCGGCAUGCCUUACACAUGCAAGUCGGACGGUAACAGGUCUUCGGAUGCUGACGAGUGGCGAACGGGUGAGUAAUACAUCGGAACGUGCCUAGUAGUGGGGGAUAACUACUCGAAAGAGUGGCUAAUACCGCAUGAGAUCUACGGAUGAAAGCAGGGGAUCGCAAGACCUUGUGCUACUAGAGCGGCCGAUGGCAGAUUAGGUAGUUGGUGGGAUAAAAGCUUACCAAGCCGACGAUCUGUAGCUGGUCUGAGAGGACGUUCAGCCACACUGGGACUUAGAAACGGCCCAGACUCCUACGGGAGGCAGCAGUGGGGAAUUUUGGACAAUGGGCGCAAGCCUGAUCCAGCAAUGCCGCGUGCAGGAUGAAGGCCUUCGGGUUGUAAACUGCUUUUGUACGGAACGAAAAGCCCCGGGUUAAUACCCUGGGGUCAUGACGGUACCGUAAGAAUAAGCACCGGCUAACUACGUGCCAGCCGCCGCAGUAA
rnacentral:rRNA from 1 species